rnacentral:rRNA from 1 species
CAGCAGCCGCGGUAAUACGGAGGGGGCUAGCGUUGUUCGGAAUUACUGGGCGUAAAGGGCGCGUAGGCGGCCAUUCAAGUUAGAUGUGAAAGCCCUGGGCUCAACCUGGGGGCUGCGCUUGAUACUUGGUUGCUUGAGUGGGGAAGAGGGUCGUGGAAUUCCCAGUGUAGAGGUGAAAUUCGUAGAUAUUGGGAAGAACACCGGUGGCGAAGGCGGCUCACUGGACCGACACUGACGCUGAGGCGCGAAAGCGUGGGGAGCAAACAGGAUUAGAUACCCGCGUAGUCCCUGUCUCUUAUAA